UACGAAGGGGGCUAGCGUUGCUCGGAAUCACUGGGCGUAAAGCGCACGUAGGCGGGUCCUUAAGUCAGGGGUGAAAUCCUGGAGCUCAACUCCAGAACUGCCCUUGAUACUGAGGAUCUCGAGUUCGGGAGAGGUGAGUGGAACUGCGAGUGUAGAGGUGAAAUUCGUAGAUAUUCGCAAGAACACCAGUGGCGAAGGCGGCUCACUGGCCCGAUACUGACGCUGAGGUGCGAAAGCGUGGGGAGCAAACAGGG
rnacentral:rRNA from 1 species